rnacentral:rRNA from 1 species
UAAUACACGCAAGUCGAGCGAACAGACGAGGAGCUUGCUCCUUUGACGUUAGCGGCGGACGGGUGAGUAACACGUGGGUAACCUACCUAUAAGACUGGGAUAACUUCGGGAAACCGGAGCUAAUACCGGAUAAUAUUUCGAACCGCAUGGUUCGAUAGUGAAAGAUGGCUUUGCUAUCACUUAUAGAUGGACCUGCGCCGUAUUAGCUAGUUGGUAAGGUAACGGCUUACCAAGGCAACGAUACGUAGCCGACCUGAGAGGGUGAUCGGCCACACUGGAACUGAGACACGGUCCAGACUCCUACGGGAGGCAGCAGUAGGGAAUCUUCCGCAAUGGGCGAAAGCCUGACGGAGCAACGCCGCGUGUGUGAUGAAGGUCUUCGGAUCGUAAAACUCUGUUAUUAGGGAAGAACAAACGUGUAAGUAACUGUGCACGUCUUGACGGUACCUAAUCAGAAAGCCACGGCUAACUACGUGCCAGCAGCCGCGGUAAUACGUAGGUGGCAAGCGUUAUCCGGAAUUAUUGGGCGUAAAGCGCGCGUAGGCGGUUUUUUAAGUCUGAUGUGAAAGCCCACGGCUCAACCGUGGAGGGUCAUUGGAAACUGGAAAACUUGAGUGCAGAAGAGGAAAGUGGAAUUCCAUGUGUAGCGGUGAAAUGCGCAGAGAUAUGGAGGAACACCAGUGGCGAAGGCGACUUUCUGGUUUGUAACUGACGCUGAUGUGCGAAAGCGUGGGGAUCAAACAGGAUUAGAUACCCUGGUAGUCCACGCCGUAAACGAUGAGUGCUAAGUGUUAGGGGGUUUCCGCCCCUUAGUGCUGCAGCUAACGCAUUAAGCACUCCGCCUGGGGAGUACGACCGCAAGGUUGAAACUCAAAGGAAUUGACGGGGACCCGCACAAGCGGUGGAGCAUGUGGUUUAAUUCGAAGCAACGCGAAGAACCUUACCAAAUCUUGACAUCCUUUGACCCUUCUAGAGAUAGAAGUUUCCCCUUCGGGGGACAAAGUGACAGGUGGUGCAUGGUUGUCGUCAGCUCGUGUCGUGAGAUGUUCGGUUAAGUCCCGCAACGAGCGCAACCCUUAAGCUUAGUUGCCAUCAUUAAGUUGGGCACUCUAAGUUGACUGCCGGUGACAAACCGGAGGAAGGUGGGGAUGACGUCAAAUCAUCAUGCCCCUUAUGAUUUGGGCUACACACGUGCUACAAUGGACAAUACAAAGGGCAGCGAAACCGCGAGGUCAAGCAAAUCCCAUAAAGUUGUUCUCAGUUCGGAUUGUAGUCUGCAACUCGACUACAUGAAGCUGGAAUCGCUAGUAAUCGUAGAUCAGCAUGCUACGGUGAAUACGUUCCCGGGUCUUGUACACACCGCCCGUCACACCACGAGAGUUUGUAACACCCGAAGCCGGUGGAGUAACCAUUUGGAGCUAGCCGUCGAAGGUGAGACAAAUGAUUGGGGUG